rnacentral:lncRNA from 1 species
GCUGAAGUGUCCUCACGGUAAUGGAACCGGCGGGCGACCGAAACGGGAACGUACAUAAAGGUAAAGAGUCGGCGGCGGACAAGGCCGCAGAAGAGACCCCAGCCACCAGUACGACCGUUAUCCCGCGGAGAGGACUCAGAGAGCGGGGAGCGUGCCGCCCGAGGUCCGGCGUCUCUGCUGUAUUAACGGACGUCAACGGAGCAGCGUCGAGCCCGCAGAGCUCAGGACGAGUUUUAAGAGACCGGUCAACGAGGGCAGUACCGGCCUGGCUGAAGGACACCAAGAGUGACGACGACGAAGACGACCCGGACACCAGUGCUUCUAAGCGGAGGAAAGUUUCCAACUCAAGGCGGAAGAAACAUUCUGAAUGUGCGGGUUCUGUUGAGGCUGGAGGGGGAGUCGCAGGUGACAGCCUUCAAUGCACAGACUCAGAGGACCCCAAGAAACCUGCCACAGAUGCUCAAGCAUCUAGCCUCCAGACGCCCCCCAGCCCAAAGUCGUGCCAAGCCCCCGACUGGCAGAGCUGUCCGCGGCUCUGCCAAGCCUAUGUGUAAGACCGAACCUGGAAUGGAGAAUCCAGCUGCAAUGGAAGGAGAGGUAAAAUAUAAAGACGAGUAUGAAAUUAAAAAGAAAGAAGAGGAAAGCGAAGAUAUUGCUGAACUAGUCCUGGGUGAUGAAGACCUUCACUUUCGGGAUGACCCAGAUGACCUCAGCUAUCAGCCACAGAGUCAGAGUGUUGCAGAAGAAGAUGAGGGUCUCAGCAGUGAUGAAGAUCUUCCUUUUACAGACGACCUAAAUGACCAGAGCUAUGACCCAAAGGAUGAACGGGAUGCCCCUAAACCAAAGCGCAGAGCUCCUUCCAGACAGAAGGAGAAGAAAGAGAAAGAAAAGGCACCUAAAAAAGAGAACGAGGUUGCUGAAAUAAAGAUCGAAGGUUCGGACAACUUGGAGAGUUUGGAAGAGGAAGUAAAGCUAGAAGAAGAAAUAGUAGAGGACCCAGAUGGACCCAGGAAGAGAGGCCGGCGGAAAAAAGAUGAUAAAACCCCACGGCUGCCAAAGAGAAGGUGAGGUUGAUGUCUUUUUUAAGGCAUCGUAAUCUGAACUUUAUUAUAUUAUGAUUUGAACCACCGUCAUCGUUUCAUCCAGAAAGU